rnacentral:lncRNA from 1 species
AGGAGAUGGCACGUGGGUACCUGCUUCUAUAAACCAAUGAGGAGAUGGGAGAGGCAGGACUUUCAGCGCGAUCUGCGUCAGAAAUAGAACUGACUACACCGCGAUGCGAGCGGUGUAGUCAGCCUGUAAGCCAUCUAUACUUACAGAGUAGCACUAACAAGGUUGUACAAAACGUCCAAGUUGUGAAAGGCUUUGAAGAGGCCAACUUGCUGAGGUUCCUGUUUGUUACUUAGGCGAGCCAAGCUGCCAUGUGUUGGUUCUCCAGGCCUUCACGGCAGGAAGCCUAGGCUGCAGGCAGAGACAACUGCCUUCCACCCCCAGGUUACUGGGUCUGAGCUCAGAAAACGAAGCGAGGCUAGCACUGGCGAUUUAAAAAGAACUGUCAACAUUGUCCAUGUUUACUGACAUAAUUUUGAGGCUUGUAUGCUGUGUGAACCGUGGCACCUGAGUGUUCCUGAGUGUUCCAGGCCAAAAACCACAACAAAAAGAUCAAGCACACACCUCUGGAUAAUGAGAAAGCCCUGGCCUAUAUGUCCUGAGCUGCUGGCCCUAGCGUGAUGUCAAGCUAAAUCACAGAGUCUGGGAGAACAACCUCCCCAGUUUCCUUGGCAACAGAGAAGAAAUACAGUGCCUUCAGAAAGUAUUCAAACCCCUUGACUGUUUCCACAUAUUGUUGUGUUACAUCCUGAAUUUAAAAUUGAUUACAUUUAGAUGUUGUGUCACUGGCCUACACACAAUACCCCAUAAUCUCAAAGUGGAAAUAUGUUUUGGGAAAUGUUUACAAAUGAAUUAAGAUGAAAAGCUGAAAUGUUGUUAUGGCAAGCCUAAAUACAGUAUGUCGAGGAGUAAAAAUGUGCUUAACAAGUCACAAGUUGCAUGGACUCACUCUGUAUGCAAUAAUAGUUUAUAACAUAAUUUUUUUAUGACUACCUCAUCUCUGUACCCCACACACAAUUAUCUGUAAGGUCUCUCAAUCGAGCAGUGAAUUUCAAACACAGAUUCAACCACAAAGACCAGAGAGGUUUUCCAAUGCCUCGCAAAAAAGGGCACCUAUUGGUAUAUGGGUAAUUUAAAAAAAAAGCAGACAUUGAGUAUCCCUUUAAGCAUGGUGAAGUUAUUAAUUACACUUUGGAUCAAUACAGCCAGUCACUAGAAUGAUACAGGCUUCCUUCCUAACUAAUUUACCGGAGCGGAAGGAAACCGCUCUGGGAUUUCACCAUGAGGCCAAUGGUGACUUUAAAACAGUUACAGAGUUUAAUGGCUGUGAUAGGAGAAAGCUGAAAAUGGAUUAACAACAUUGUAGUUCCUCCACAAUACUAAUUUAAAUGACAGAGUGAAAAGAAGGAAGCCCAUCCAGCAUACAAAUAUUCUAAAACAUGCAUUCUGUUUUCAAUAAAGCACUAAAGUAAAAGCGCAAAAAAUGUGGCAAAGAAACUAACUUAAUGUCAUGGAUACAAAGAACACAUCACUGAGUACCACUCUUAAUAAUUUCAGGCAUGUGGGUGGCUGCAUCAUAUUAUGGGUAUGCCUGUCAUCGACAAGGAAUAGAGUUUUCUUUAUGAUUAAAAAUAAAUGGAAUAGAGCUAAGCACAGGCAAAAUCUUACAGGAAAACCUGAUACAUUCUGCUUUCCAACAGACACUGAGAGACAAAUUCACCUUUCAGCAGGAAAAUAACCUAAAACACAAGGCCAAAUAUACACUGGAGUUGCUUACCAAGACAACAUUGAAUGUUCAUGAGUGGCCUAGUUACAGUUGUGACUUAAAAUCGGCUUAAAAAUCUAUGGCAAGACUUGUAAAUGUCUACCAAUGAUCAACAACCAACUUGACAGAGCUUGAAGAAUAAAAAAUUAAAAUACAAUCCAGGUGUGCAAAGCCUUUAGAGACUUACCCAGACAGACUCACAGCUGUAAUCGCUGCCAAAGGUGAUUCUAACAUGUAUUGACUCAGGGGUGUGAAUACUUAUGUAAAUGAGAUAUACUAUUUGUAUUUCAUUUUCAUUAAAUUUGCAAAAAUGUAUAAAAACAUGAUUAUACUUUGUCAUUAUGGGGUAUUGUGGGUAGAUGGAUGAGAAAAAAAUUAUAUUUAUACAUUUUGGAUUUGUAACACAACAAAAUGUAGAAUGAGGGGGUAUGAAUAAUUUCCAAAGGCACAGUAGAUCCUCUGGUUAUAACAGUUAAAUACCCCAUAAAGUCCACACUGUUGGAAAUGUGAAGGAAUAUACAGGACAACAACCCCCUGCUUCUCCUCAAGUAGACUGUUUUCCAGUUACUAAUCCUGCACAAUCCUGGCUUGAAUCAUCACAGCACAGACUGGCAUUUUUUUUGUAGCUGAGGUACAUAGCAUGAUCCUCU